CACACCUCCUGAUUACUUUAGAGAUUUGAGGUACUUUAUAGUCUGUGUAUUAGUGUAUCAGCACCGUAUAUACUCGUAUUGAAUCAGUUGGCAUGGUAUUGGAUGAUGUCAGUACAGGGAGGAUCACGUGAUAGGUCACAUGACUUGAUAUCAACUGCCGUUCCUCGUGUGAAUGGGUGGGAGUGUCCCUGGCACCCACUGUACUUAACUUCAAAUGGGUGUCAUAUAUAAGCUGGACCUCAUCCAAAGUUUCACUUUUGGUUCGUUGAUAUCAGCAGUUGAUCC